UACGAAGGGGGCUAGCGUUGUUCGGAUUUACUGGGCGUAAAGCGCACGUAGGCGGCUCGUUAAGUCAGGGGUGAAAUCCUGGAGCUCAACUCCAGAACUGCCUUUGAUACUGAAGAUCUUGAGUUCGGGAGAGGUGAGUGGAACUGCGAGUGUAGAGGUGAAAUUCGUAGAUAUUCGCAAGAACACCAGUGGCGAAGGCGGCUCACUGGCCCGGUACUGACGCUGAGGCAUGAAAGCGUGGGGAGCAAACAGG
rnacentral:rRNA from 1 species